GUGUCAGCAGCCGCGGUAACACGGGGGGAGCAAGCGUUGUUCGGAAUCACUGGGCGUAAAGGGCGUCUAGGCGGUCAGGUAAGUGGGACGUGAAAUACCUCGGCUCACCCGAGGAGCGGCGUCCCAAACUGCUUGGCUUGAGUAUGGGAGAGGAUGUGGGAAUUCCUGGUGUAGCGGUGAAAUGCGUAGAUAUCAGGAGGAACACCGGUGGCGAAGGCGCACAUCUGGCCCAAUACUGACGCUGAAGCGCGAAAGCUAGGGGAGCAAACGGGAUUAGAUACCCCGGUAGUCCUAGCCGUAAACGGUGAUCACUAGGUGUUGGAGGCAUCGACCCCUCCAGUGCCGCAGCUAACGCAUUAAGUGAUCCGCCUGGGGAGUACGGCCGCAAGGUUGAA
rnacentral:rRNA from 1 species